ACNGRSRAHGCUGUUAAAGGCUUAGAAGAAGCCCGGHUAACUCCGUGACAACAGCCGCGGUAAUACGGAGGGGGCUAGCGUUGUUCGGAAUUACUGGGCGUAAAGCGCACCUAGGCGGACCGGAAAUUCACGAKGUGAAAUCCCAGGGCUCAACCUUKGGAACUGCCUUCCAACUCCUCCUCUUGAGGUCGAGAGAGGUGAGUGGAAUUCCGAGUGUAGAGGUGAAAUUCGUAGAUAUUCGGAGGAACACCAGUGGCGAAGGGCGGCUCAUCUGGCUCGAUACUGACGCUGAGGUGCGAAAGCUGUGGGGAGCAAACAAGGAUUAGAUACCCUGGUAGUCCACGCCGUAAACGAUGAAUGCCAGACGUCGGGCAAAAUGCUGUUCGGUGUCACACRNCGUUCGRRNNSDGGA
rnacentral:rRNA from 1 species